rnacentral:rRNA from 1 species
UAUACGGCGAAACUGCGAACGGGUCAUUAUAUAAGUUAUCGUUUAUUUNANANCANCUUGCUACUUGGGUAACCGUGGUAAUUCUAGAGCUAAUACAUGCUAAAAAUCCCGACUUCGGAAGGGAUGUGUUUAUUAGAUUCAAAACCAAUGCCCUCUGGGCUCACUGGUGAUUCAUGAUAACCGCUCGAAUCGCACGGCCUUGCGCUGGCGAUGGUUCAUUCAAAUUUCUUCCCUAUCAACUUUCGAUGUUUGGGUAGUGGCCAAACAUGGUUGCAACGGGUAACGGAGGGUUAGGGCUCGACCCCGGAGAAGGAGCCUGAGAAACGGCUACUACAUCCAAGGAAGGCAGCAGGCGCGCAAAUUACCCAAUCCCGACACGGGGAGGUAGUGACAAUAAAUACCGAUAUAGGGCUCUUUUGGGUCUUAUAAUUGGAAUGAGUACAAUUUAAAUCCCUUAACGAGGAACAAUUGGAGGGCAAGUCUGGUGCCAGCAGCCGCGGUAAUUCCAGCUCCAAUAGCGUAUAUUAAAGUUGUUGUGGUUAAAAAGCUCGUAGUUGAACCUUGGGCCUGGCUGGCCGGUCCGCCUCACCGCGUGCACUGGUCCGGCCGGGCCUUUCCCUCCGCGGAACCCCAUGCCCUUCGCUGGGCGUGGCGGGGAAACGGGACUUUUACUUUGAAAAAAUUAGAGUGCUCCAGGCAGGCCUAUGCUCGAAUACAUUAGCAUGGAAUAAUGAAAUAGGACGCGCGGUUCUAUUUUGUUGGUUUCUAGGACCGCCGUAAUGAUUGAUAGGGACAGUCGGGGGCGUCAGUAUUCAACCGUCAGAGGUGAAAUUCUUGGACCGGUUGAAGACUAACUACUGCGAAAGCAUUCGCCAAGGAUGUUUUCAUUAAUCAGGAACGAAAGCUAGGGGAUCGAAGACGAUCAGAUACCGUCGUAGUCUUAGCCAUAAACUAUGCCGACUAGGGAUCGGGCGAUGUUAUUCUUUGACUCGCUCGGCNCCUUCCGAGAAAUCAAAGU